AAGUCGUAACAAGGUUUCCGUAGGUGAACCUGCGGAAGGAUCAUUAACACUUUUGAAUCCUGAACUUGUUCUCCCAAAUUCACUUGGGCAGAACUCGUUCUUAACCCCACAAUUUGUGAACGAUGAUUUAUAUCGGCGGAUAAUUAUAUUAUCUCCGUUUCCCCUUUUUCUCUUUUUUAUUCCCCAUUUAUUUUUACCCCAAAUUAUCCAUUCGACUGAUAUGAACUUUAUCUUUUCCUUAAAACGAAAAGAUAAAACGAUUAAAAAAUGGUUAAAACAACUCUUAGCAACGGAUAUCUUGGCUCUC
rnacentral:misc_RNA from 1 species